GAGAGACGCCCGCCUGGCUCACAGCACUCUGGUUAAGGGAAGGCUGGUUCAAUAUAGACCAGAGCAACUAACAGCAGACAACGGUCACUUGAGAGUUUUCAGGAGGCCGAAAGUCACCUACAGACAGUCCCUCGAGGCCACACAUGGCAGCACGUGGUUGCAGGGAAAAGGCAGGACCCCUGUGUGCAUCACUGCCCACCUCUGCAAGUGCCUGGAGAGGCCGAUGAGAGGAUGUUCCUGUGCCCCAGUCAGUCACACAGCUAUCAAAGGCAGGUAGAGCUUCUCCACUGUCAUCCCAACAACAAAACCAGCUUCACUAAUAAUGAAAUCAGACACUGAGUACAUUGGAAUAUUUUAUUUUGACUUUACAUGCGGUGUUAAAAACCCAAAGAACGUAUUAUUUACACAUCCACAAUACAAGUUUACAAGAUAUCUAUACAUGUUAAAGUACUCUAUAGUAUAGAGCAGCUUCAUUUAAGGGUUACUUUUUUAUGCCGUACCAUUAAAAAAGAUACAAUCUGCGUUUACCUUUGCACAAAUGGAUAAAGCAUCUUUUAUUAUUAAAUUAACAGAAUAAGGACUAGGUUGAAUGUUAGAAAUUUCAACAUAAAUACUGAGAGAACUCACAUUACCAUCUACAAGGCAGCACAAUGUUACAGGAGGUUAUCAGGGUUCACAUACAUUUAUUGUUCGGUUUCACACAAGUCUGUAUUAAUAUUUGUAAAGUGAAUUCAGAUCAGUUUGUGUCUUUUGACAACCAAGUACAUUUUUAAUAGUUAUUAAUCUGUAGUGUUUUAGUUGCAGGACAGAAGUGUUUAGGAAAAGAGAUCAUUGAUUUUUGGAUCCAGAGGUCUCGGGAAAUAAAUGUCCCUUACAGCCUUACAAGAAAAAAAUGACUACUUCUAUCCUCUAUUCUUUGUUCUGUAACAGAGAUCCUCUCUUCAGUGACUAACCUUUUCUCCCCCUUGAACACAUAAUAUAAAUCUCCACCGUCUCUGAAACCCAUUGCAGUUAUUUGUCCCACUAAUUCAUGAAUAUUCCUCUGCUGUGGUUAUUUCUAUAGUUAUGUUCAAUAAACAAUGUGGUAGUGUGUAGUUUGCAAGCUAAAAUAGCCAUCUGUGUUGAACAUCAGCUGCAAGUGGAUACUGUAAAACCUACUAAAUAGCUUACACAACUUUAGCAGGUGUUCCAUUACCCUAGAAACCUCAUUUGAUUUCACAUUAUAUGUGUUUGAUCCUUCGGAGAGCUGGAGUGGAAUGUUUAUCAUGGUAAGGUGAUUUAAUGCUGCUGUCUUCUUGGACUGUAGGCUGCCUUUAGUUACCAUUAAUUAUUCUCGCUUUUUAUCUUUUUUUUUUUGGGUGCUGUUGAGAGGUUUUAUAACUGGCACUCGGGAGAUAUGUGCUAUAGUGAGAACACUUGACAGAUUCAUUUAUUUUUUUAGUACUUUUAUCAUUUGCAUGAAUAAGGCACAAAAUGCACAGAUUCAGGUAAACUCACACAUAAUAUUUACAGAAUAUUGUCAUUACCUGCAUGACUUUGGAAAAAAAAACAACCUUACAUUACACAACAAAAACGAAUUGAUUGCACUACUGUUGAGUUUUCACAGACUGCUUCUGCCAGGCCAAUUAAUGUUUCUUCUUUUUUAUUGACAAGAGUCUAUCAGCGUGUAGGGCAUUAUUAAAUGCAACAAAAACAUAACCUUCUCUAGCUACACAGGCCUUUGCUCAGUGGAUUGAUUAUUAGCUGCCCUCAAUGAGAAGUACAGGGUCACAGGUUCACAGUGGCCAGGUACUGGAUGGAGGCACUGUGGAAACACAGCGCAACUCCACCGCUCCAGCCCAAACCACUAGAUUUGAAAUGCACAGCUCUGAAUCAAUAGCAGCAUAACAGAGUUAUGAAGAAUUAAACAAUCUGCGCUCUUUCA